UAAGUAGGGAGCGAGCGUUGUCCGGAAUUACUGGGCGUAAAGGGUGCGUAGGCGGCAUGGCAAGUCAGAUGUGAAAUCCCCGGGCUUAACUCGGGUGGUGCAUUUGAAACUGCCAAGCUUGAGUGCAGGAGAGGAAAGCGGAAUUCCUAGUGUAGCGGUGAAAUGCGUAGAUAUUAGGAGGAACACCAGUGGCGAAGGCGGCUUUCUGGACUGUAACUGACGCUGAGGCACGAAAGCGUGGGGAGCAAACAGG
rnacentral:rRNA from 1 species